rnacentral:ncRNA from 1 species
CACGGGAGCCCGGCGGUCCGGGCUGAGAGGGAGGCGGGCGGCCUCCGACCGUACGAACCUGAUCCGGGUCAUGCCGGCGAAGGGAG